GAUGAACGCUAGCGGCAGGCUUAACACAUGCAAGUCGAGGGGUAACAGGUCACUUCGGUGAUGCUGACGACCGGCGCACGGGUGAGUAACGCGUAUGGAACCUACCUGAAACAGGGGGAUAGCUUCCGGAAACGGGGAUUAAUACCCCAUACGAUUCAUUUGUGGCCUCACAAAUGGAUAAAAGCUACGGCGGUUUCAGAUGGUCAUGCGUACCAUUAGUUAGUUGGUGAGGUAAAGGCUCACCAAGGCGAUGAUGGUUAGGGGUCCUGAGAGGGUAGUCCCCCACACUGGUACUGAGACACGGACCAGACUCCCACGGGAGGCAGCAGUGAGGAAUAUUGGUCAAUGGGCGCUAGCCUGAACCAGCCAUGCCGCGUGCAGGAAGACGGCCCUACGGGUUGUAAACUGCUCUUCUGCAGGAAGAAUAUAUAGUCUUAGGGCUAUAUUGACGGUACUGCAGGAAUAAGCAUCGGCUAACUCCGUGCCAGCAGCCGCGGUAAUACGGAGGAUGCAAGCGUUAUCCGGAUUCAUUGGGUUUAAAGGGUGCGCAGGCUGUAAAGCAAGUCAGUGGUGAAAGCCCUGGGCUUAACUCAGGGAUUGCCAUUGAAACUGUUUUACUAGAGUGUAGUAGAGGACGGCGGAAUGAGUUGUGUAGCGGUGAAAUGCAUAGAUAUAACUCAGAACACCUAUUGCGUAGGCAGCUGUCUAUACUACAACUGACGCUGAGGCACGAAAGCGUGGGGAGCGAACAGGAUUAGAUACCCUGGUAGUCCACGCUGUAAAC
rnacentral:rRNA from 1 species